CAGCAGCCGCGGUAAUGCGAAGGGGGCUAGCGUUGCUCGGAAUUACCGGGCGUAAAGGGAGCGUAGGCGGGUCGUUUAGUCAGAGGUGAAAUCCCGGGGCUCAACCUCGGAACUGCCUUUGAUACUGGCGACCUUGAGUAUGGGAGAGGUGAGUGGAACUCCGAGUGUAGAGGUGAAAUUCGUAGAUAUUCGGAAGAACACCAGUGGCGAAAGCGACUCACUGGCCCAUUACUGACGCUGAGGCUCGAAAGCGUGGGGAGCAAACAGGAUUAGAUACCCCAGUAGUCCCUGUCUCUUAUAC
rnacentral:rRNA from 1 species